AUGGUCAUUCGUUUUAAAACUUAUUUAUUGCUACAAAAUCUUCUUUUUAAGGUUUUGGCCUCUUCUCUUCUGUUCCUAGAACUUCUAUAGUAUGACUCUGUUUUUGUAAAGAAUUCUUAUUUCAGCUUUUAUAGAAGGGGUCUGUGAUGUGAAUGCCUUUGUAAUUAUUGAAAAUAUGGUUCAUUAAGUUCUUCAUGUGACUUUAUAUGGCAGUUUGAAAAUUUUCUUGCAGAGAUCCCAGAGAAUGAGUAUGUCAAAUAUUUUGCCCCAGAUUUUUCGUUGAGGAUUCCUAAUGGGCACAUAGAGAACUUAAAUAGCAAGUCAUAUCUUAGUAUGAUUAAAACGCAGGUGUUGGAGAAUCUUCGUUGCAUUCAGCAUGCUCCAAGUGUGCAAUUGCAAGAGAUAUCUUUGACGUCAGCAUGGCAUCACUGUUCAAACCUAGAGCCAGACGGAUAAGCCAGUGAACUGUGAGCUAUAGUGCCUUUCCAAGUUGAUGAACGUUCUGGUUUUUAAACUUCGGUUAUAGCUUUAAUCUGAAUGGUAUGAUACUUGUAUUGAAGAAACUUAAAAUGUGCAUGAAAUAUAGGCCUCAUUUGGGAAGUGGCUAUUUUAGUUUUUGGCUAUUUUAAGUAGGCUAAAAUUUUUGUGUUUGGGAAGAUGAUUGGAUUUUUUUGUGGUUGGAUGUGAUGUUUGUGAGAGAAAAAGUGAAAUGAUUAUGGGUUUGAUGUGAUAUUUUGUCUUAUUAACUAUUUUAACCUAUUUUGUCUUUUUGUGAUUUUUAGCCUAAAUUUGGCUUUUGUUUUUCUUCCCAAACGACCCCAUAAGCUAAAUAUUUUUGACCUGGCCCAUACCAAAUUUGUCUUAUGUUUGUCAAAUAGAUUCAUAAUAUUAGUGGACUGAAAAACAAUGUUUCAUAUG